GAUGAACGCUGGCGGCGUGCUUAACACAUGCAAGUCGAACGAUGAAGCUGGAGCUUGCUCUGGUGGAUUAGUGGCGAACGGGUGAGUAACACGUGAGCAACCUGCCCCUGACUCUGGGAUAACAGCCGGAAACGGCUGCUAAUACCGGAUAUGCACCAUGAACGCAUGUUCUGUGGUGGGAAAGAUUUUUCGGUUGGGGAUGGGCUCGCGGCCUAUCAGCUUGUUGGUGAGGUAAUGGCUCACCAAGGCGUCGACGGGUAGCCGGCCUGAGAGGGUGACCGGCCACACUGGGACUGAGACACGGCCCAGACUCCUACGGGAGGCAGCAGUGGGGAAUAUUGCACAAUGGGCGAAAGCCUGAUGCAGCAACGCCGCGUGAGGGAUGACGGCCUUCGGGUUGUAAACCUCUUUUAGCAGGGAAGAAGCGAGAGUGACGGUACCUGCAGAAAAAGCGCCGGCUAACUACGUGCCAGCAGCCGCCG
rnacentral:rRNA from 1 species